rnacentral:lncRNA from 1 species
CUCUAGUGGGCGUCUUGGGCCCGGGCUCUAUUCUGGGCUGUGGGCCUGGGAAGGGCUCGCCGGGUGCCAAAUGAGCUGUCCUAACUCUGCGGGGCUGCAGCUUCCUGCAUGAUGUUGUGGAGCUUGGCGCCUGACCCAGGAUAUAGAAGGCACUCUGGGCAGGCCGCGCUCCGCCCACGAAGGUACCCAACCCUCUGGGAUAGAUGCAGGAACCGAUGGUUAGGACCCAUUUUCACCCAACUUCUCGCCGCAGGUUUAACCACCAAGGACUCUGAGAGCUGGCAGGUCUGAGUAACCCUGGUAACAAUUCUCUUCACCUUAUCAAAACCUGAGCUAAAACCAAUGCAUCAGCUGAUGAUGACAGCAGAGAGUGGCAGGGCUGAGGACCCAAUAUUCAUUUCCCAGGCUGGCGGAGAGUGAGUAAAUGAGAUUCUAAAACUAAACAAGGGAGGUCAGAGACUCUUUCCAA